GACGAACCGUGCAAACGUUGUUCGGAAUUACUGGGCGUAAAGGGCUCGUAGGCGGCCAACUAAGUCCGACGUGAAAUCCCCAGGCUUAACCUGGGAACUGCGUCGGAUACUGGAUGGCUUGAAUUCGGGAGAGGGAUGCAGAAUUCCAGGUGUAGCGGUGAAAUGCGUAGAUAUCUGGAGGAAUACCGGUGGCGAAGGCGGCAUCCUGGACCGACAUUGACGCUGAUGAGCGAAAGCUAGGGGAGCAAACGGG
rnacentral:rRNA from 1 species